CCGAGUGUUGAGACUCCUAAAAGGAGCAGAUUUCUCACAUGUAGAUUGCAUGAACGCACAGAGGCUGGCCCCAGUUCCAAGUGUUCGAACAAGUCUGUGGCCUGCGGGCCCUUUUUUCCGUCGUCCUCUGGGCUAUUUUGCUACCUGAGAUUAGGGAUGAAAGUGGUAAUCCGAACUGUUAGAACAAAUUUAAUAUUUUAAAAUAGAUAUGUAUAAAAUUUGAUGUUGAUCUUUUCUUAUGUUAUCAAGCACAUUAGUACAAAUAUGAAUAAAAUAUUAUAUAAGUUGUUUUAUGUAUUAUUUGCUCCCUACAACACAAAAAGUUGAAAAAAUUACCGAAUUUAUUUCCGAAUUCAUACCGAAGUUUAUAUCUAUUAUUUGAGAAAAUGUAGGAUGAAUUUGAGGUUUACCAUUUAUGAAUCUUAACAAGCUGGAUGUUAAAAACAAGAAUACAAAUUUGUAUUAUAUAUUCUAUAUCAUAUUUAUUCAUAAUCAAAGAAAAAACUGAUUACCGAAUAAAUACCGUUUCCGACCGUUUUCAUCCCUACCUGAGAUGCCUGCCAAUCUUUUCUCCGCUCCUACUCGGCAGGAGCUGAACUGCUUUUGUGAGGGAAGGCUGACCAGUUUUGUGGGUUUUCCCCCUUCACUGUUGGUUUCAGUAAGGUAGGAUGGAAAACAAAUUAAACAAAAUCGUUCUGUUGUAUCAGGAUGUUACAUAUAUAAUAAUAAAAAGGCAAAUAAAGUCCCAUGAUUUGUGAUGACGC
rnacentral:lncRNA from 1 species